AGGGUUUGAUUAUGGCUCAGAACGUACGCUGGCGGCACGCCUAACACGUGCAAGUCGAACGAAGUAGCAAUACUUAGUGGCAGACGGGUGAGUAACAUGUAGGUAUCUUCCCUUUGGCCUGGAAUAACACGAGGAAACUUGUGCUAAUACUGGAUAAGUCUUUACGGAGAAAGCUUUAUGCACCAUUGGAUGAGCCUGCACUUGAUUAGUUUGUUGGUGGGGUAAUGGCCUACCAAGACUGUGAUCAAUAGCUGAUUUGAGAGGAUGAUCAGCCACAUUGGGACUGAGACACGGCCCAAACUCCUACGGGAGGCAGCAGUGGGGAAUCUUGCACAAUGGAGGAAACUCUGAUGCAGCGAUGCCGCGUGAGUGAAGAAGGCCCUUGGGUUGUAAAGCUCUUUCGUCGGGGAAGAAAAUGACUGUACCCGAAUAAGAAGGUCCGGCUAACUUCGUGCCAGCCGCCGCGGUAAUAC
rnacentral:rRNA from 1 species